GGAUUGUGGCUCAGUGGUAGAGUACUUGCCUAGCAUGUGUGAGGCCCUGGGUUCGAUUCUCAGCACCA
rnacentral:tRNA from 1 species